UGAUCCCACAAAAAAGCCACCUAGAAGAUAAAAUUCUUCAUUUUCUCCACGUAUGUGGAGG
rnacentral:sRNA from 1 species